rnacentral:rRNA from 1 species
ACGCUGGCGGCAGGCCUAACACAUGCAAGUCGAGCGGUAGCACAGGAGAGCUUGCUCUCUGGGUGACGAGCGGCGGACGGGUGAGUAAUGUCUGGGAAACUGCCUGAUGGAGGGGGAUAACUACUGGAAACGGUAGCUAAUACCGCAUGACCUCGCAAGAGCAAAGUGGGGGACCUUCGGGCCUCACGCCAUCGGAUGUGCCCAGAUGGGAUUAGCUAGUAGGUGGGGUAAUGGCUCACCUAGGCGACGAUCCCUAGCUGGUCUGAGAGGAUGACCAGCCACACUGGAACUGAGACACGGUCCAGACUCCUACGGGAGGCAGCAGUGGGGAAUAUUGCACAAUGGGCGCAAGCCUGAUGCAGCCAUGCCGCGUGUGUGAAGAAGGCCUUAGGGUUGUAAAGCACUUUCAGCGAGGAGGAAGGCGUUGUAGUUAAUAGCUGCAGCGAUUGACGUUACUCGCAGAAGAAGCACCGGCUAACUCCGUGCCAGCAGCCGCGGUAAUACGGAGGGUGCAAGCGUUAAUCGGAAUUACUGGGCGUAAAGCGCACGCAGGCGGUUUGUUAAGUCAGAUGUGAAAUCCCCGAGCUUAACUUGGGAACUGCAUUUGAAACUGGCAAGCUAGAGUCUUGUAGAGGGGGGUAGAAUUCCAGGUGUAGCGGUGAAAUGCGUAGAGAUCUGGAGGAAUACCGGUGGCGAAGGCGGCCCCCUGGACAAAGACUGACGCUCAGGUGCGAAAGCGAGGGGAGCAAAC